rnacentral:tRNA from 1 species
GUUUUAAUAAUUUAAUAAAAAUACUGAUUUUGUAAAUCAGAAAUAAACAGCAAUUUUUAAAACU